UACAGAGGUCUCAAGCGUUGUUCGGAUUCAUUGGGCGUAAAGGGUGCGUAGGCGGUGAGGUAAGUUGGAUGUGAAAUCCCGGGGCUUAACCCCGGAACUGCAUUCAAUACUGCCUUGCUAGAGUACUGGAGAGGAGAUUGGAAUUCACGGUGUAGCAGUGAAAUGCGUAGAUAUCGUGAGGAAGACCAGUGGCGAAGGCGAAUCUCUGGACAGUGACUGACGCUGAGGCACGAAGGCUAGGGGAG
rnacentral:rRNA from 1 species